UGGGAGCAUUUGUAGGCUAGAUCUAAAGAGAAGCUCUUGAUUUGUCCUCAACAUCAAAUCCGGUGAAGGCCCAUACUAAAAUUUGUGCAGCCAAAUUGAAACGAGUAAACUUCAUGUAUGGAUGCAACAACCUGCGCCGAAUCUGAGAAAGGCCAAGACCUAGCACCAUAGCAGCCGCCGCAUCUGGCAAGUCAAUACGCCUAAGUUCCAUAGGGAAAGUAGAAUUCUAGAUUGGGAGAGACGGGAGGAGAAAUACAGGGGCAUAAAUCUUGGCAAUGCAUCAGAGUGUCGAGAGCUCACCGUGACGCCGUCGUAGACCGCUAUUGCCGGCGCAGAGCGGUGCAGCCCCGCAGCACUGCCUUGAGGAACCCAGAGAGUUCACCACACCGCCGAGGCCACCACUGCCACCGAGCACCACGGGAUGAAACUUCAACGCCAUCACCAACCACGGCACCGCCCAAGACCUAGGCAGCUACCCCACCCAUGGCGCCGCCGUGCGCCGCCGAUACUCCCGAUACGGUUCGCAACUCUUCUU
rnacentral:lncRNA from 1 species